GUGGCUCUUAAGGAAAACACGGUGGGGGGGGGAACCUGAGGGGCUAGGAUGAUCUUAGAACAGACCAGCAAGCAAAGGGGCCAGUUUGAGCACCGCUGCUCUUUAGUCAUAUACACAAUUCUCCCACAAGGUCCCAUAGGACAGGAAUGGAGGCUGGGGUCCAGCCUGGGAAAAGCUAUGGUGACAUGCAGCAGCAGCAAGGAGCAAACUCUCAAGCCAGGUGAAGCCUAGUGCCUAUACUAAGUAGACCCCAUGGCCCCCCACAGAACAGGGGCUUCCAAGACAAUGAGGUGAUAGUGCAAACACCCAUCUCCCUAGACCUCCCAGCCCAGGGAUCCACUCUAUCAUGUGGCAAUAAGGGCUUUCACCUGGACUCUGCAGGGGACAGAAGCUCAGAGUGCAAUUAUACCUCUGACUUAGCUCAGGCAAGCACCCGGCUACACCAGUGGUUUGUCAGCCUGGACCAGUCUUCCGCUCUGGUGAGAAGCUGGCAGAAAAGGGGGUUGAAUGUAGGCUGCUCCAUGGCUGUCAUGAGCCCAACUCUCCCAGGCAGGUCAAUCAUCAGCCCAGGUGGGAGCUCUGAGAUCCCCCUCACACAGACAAGGAUGGAACUACACAGUGGCAUCCGUGUUCAGCUUCUAAGGCAACACAGCCACACAGCUCAGCUUGUAACAGAGCAGAGGGAUAUGGUCCUUCAGGCCACACCCUGCUGUGCCAGGCGCUCCUGGUUCCAUUUGUUGGGAACCGGAGCUAAAUCUGCUGCCCCGCUACUUGACAUGCUAAAGCAGCGGGGGACGACUUUUUUGGCAGGCACAUCACAAAUUAGCCCUGCACCCUCCCCGAGUGUCAGUGUGGUUCCUUGCCCGAUCUGCUGCUCUGCUUCCUACUCCAAUACCACGUACCACACACAGACUGCCUGUGUCACUUGUGGCACCGGUGUCAUGGACUGGCCAACCCUGGGCUAAAGAAUCCUGGUAGAGGGUGUUCCUGCUAGUUAAUGACCCCAAAGUGAGGUGCCCAGCUGCCCACUGGCAGGGGCUGUG